rnacentral:rRNA from 1 species
AGAAUUGAUCUGGUUCAGGACGAACGCUGGCGGCGUGCUUCAUACAUGCAAGUCGAACGCGAAGUCACCUUCGGGUGAUGGAAAGUGGCGGACGGGUGAGUAAUGUGUAGAGAAUCUGCCCUUUAGCGGGGGACAACAGUUGGAAACGACUGCUAAUACCCCAUAUGCGCGUAGCUGAGAUGCUAUUCGUGAAAACUCCGGUGCUAAAGGAUGAGUCUGCAUCUGAUUAGCUAGUUGGGGGUGUAAUGGACCACCAAGGCGACGAUCAGUAGCUGGUUUGAGAGGAUGAUCAGCCACAAUGGGACUGAGACACGGCCCAUACUCCUACGGGAGGCAGCAGUAGGGAAUUUUGCGCAAUGGGGGCAACCCUGACGCAGCAACGCCGCGUGAUUGAAUAAGCCCUUCGGGGUGUAAAGAUCUGUCAGUGGGGACGAAACUUGACGGUACCCACAGAGGAAGCAUCGGCUAACUCCGUGCCAGCAGCAGC